GAGUUUGAUCAUGGUUCAGAAUCAACGCUGGCGGCGUGCCUAACACAUGCAAGUCGAACGAGAAAGUGGAGCAAUCCAUGAGUAAAGUGGCGCACGGGUGAGUAACACGUGACUAACCUACCUUUUAGUGGGGGAUAACCUAGGGAAACCUGGGCUAAUACCGCAUAAUGCCUACGGGUCAAAGCAGCAACGCGCUGAAAGAGGGGGUCGCGGCCGAUUAGCUAGUUGGCGGGGUAAUGGCCCACCAAGGCAGUGAUCGGUAUCCGGCCUGAGAGGGCGCACGGACACACUGGAACUGAAACACGGUCCAGACUCCUACGGGAGGCAGCAGUGGGGAAUUUUGCGCAAUGGGGGAAACCCUGACGCAGCAACGCCGCGUGGAGGAUGAAGUCCCUUGGGACGUAAACUCCUUUCGAUCGGGACGAUAAUGACGGUACCGGAAGAAGAAGCCCCGGCUAACUUCGUGCCAGCAGCCGCGGUAAUACGAGGGGGGCAAGCGUUGUUCGGAAUUAUUGGGCGUAAAGGGUGCGUAGGUGGUUCGGCAAGUCUUGUGUGAAAUCUUCAGGCUCAACUUGAAGUCUGCACAAGAAACUGCCGGGCUUGAGUAUGG
rnacentral:rRNA from 1 species